rnacentral:rRNA from 1 species
UNUGACUUGAGUGCAGAAGGGGAGAGUGGAAUUCCAUGUGUAGCGGUGAAAUGCGUAGAUAUAUGGAGGAACACCAGUGGCGAAAGCGGCUCUCUGGUCUGUCACUGACGCUGAGGCUCGAAAGCGUGGGUAGCGAACAGGAUUAGAUACCCUGGUAGUNCACGCCGUAAACGAUGAGUGCUAGGUGUUAGGCCCUUUCCGGGGCUUAGUGCCGGAGCUAACGCAAUAAGCACUCCGCCUGGGGAGUACGACCGCAAGGUUGAAACUCAAAGGAAUUGACGGGGGCCCGCACAAGCGGUGGAGCAUGUGGUUUAAUUCGAAGCAACGCGAAGAACCUUACCAGGUCUUGACAUCCCGAUGCUAUUCUUAGAGAUAGGAAGUUACUUCGGUACAUCGGAGACAGGUGGUGCAUGGUUGUCGUCAGCUCGUGUCGUGAGAUGUUGGGUUAAGUCCCGCAACGAGCGCAACCCUUAUUGUUAGUUGCCAUCAUUAAGUUGGGCACUCUAGCGAGACUGCCGGUAAUAAACCGGAGGAAGGUGGGGAUGACGUCAAAUCAUCAUGCCCCUUAUGACCUGGGCUACACACGUACUACAAUGGUCGGUACAACGAGUUGCGAGCCGGUGACGGCAAGCUAAUCUCUGAAAGCCGAUCUCAGUUCGGAUUGGAGGCUGCAACUCGCCUCCAUGAAGUCGGAAUCGCUAGUAAUCGCGGAUCAGCACGCCGCGGUGAAUACGUUCCCGGGCCUUGUACACACCGCCCGUCACACCACGAGAGUUUGUAACACCCGAAGUCGGUGAGGUAACCUUUUAGGGGCCAGCCG